UAAGACGGAAAGUGUUUGGCGUUGAGGCAUCAGGAGCAGAUGGCAAGGUCAACAGCUCCAGCAAUCCAGCGAGCAGACAGACUCAUUAACUGCCUGGCCAGGUCAGCACCAGUGAGGGGAUCUGCAUUACUGCAAAUGCUUCAUAAAGAGACUGUUAGAAACUGAGCACACACAAACACUCUAAACAAAAGAGGAAAUGUGUGGCACAGAAGUUCUGUCGGACGAUGAAAACUGCUCCUCUCGGUACACACAGCCUGCACUCCCACAAUCCAUUUCAGCUCAGACCAUAGCUUACAGCUAGAGACCAAUGGAUUAUCAAUACUGUACCAUUAAGAUGUGUUGCUUUUUGUGGAAGGAAAUGAAGAUUGACACCAUAGAGUGGCUGUGAAGAGCCCCGGAGAGCGGUUUACUUCACAAUUAAAAUGGCAGUGAUGGGAGUGAAAAAAGGAA